UGGGGAAUAUUGGACAAUGGGCGAAAGCCUGAUCCAGCCAUGCCGCGUGUGUGAAGAAGGUCUUCGGAUUGUAAAGCACUUUAAGUUGGGAGGAAGGGCAUUAACCUAAUACGUUAGUGUUUUGACGUUACCGACAGAAUAAGCACCAGCUAACUCUGUGCCAGCAGCCGAGGUAAUACAGAGGGUGCAAGCGUUAAUCGGAAUUACUGGGCGUAAAGCGCGCGUAGGUGGUUUGUUAAGUUGGAUGUGAAAUCCCCGGGCUCAACCUGGGAACUGCAUUCAAAACUGACUGACUAGAGUAUGGUAGAGGGUGGUGGAAUUUCCUGUGUAGCGGUGAAAUGCGUAGAUAUAGGAAGGAACACCAGUGGCGAAGGCGACCACCUGGACUAAUACUGACACUGAGGUGCGAAAGCGUGGGGAGCAAACA
rnacentral:rRNA from 1 species